rnacentral:rRNA from 1 species
GAGAGCUUGCUCUCAAGAAGUUAGCGGCGGACGGGUGAGUAACACGUGGGUAACCUGCCCAUAAGACUGGGAUAACUCCGGGAAACCGGGGCUAAUACCGGAUAACAUUUUGAACUGCAUGGUUCGAAAUUGAAAGGCGGCUUCGGCUGUCACUUAUGGAUGGACCCGCGUCGCAUUAGCUAGUUGGUGAGGUAACGGCUCACCAAGGCAACGAUGCGUA